rnacentral:miRNA from 1 species
UGAUUCCUCAUAUCGUCCAAC